CACACAUUCUUUUCUCAAAUUGAGCAGUGACAAGCAGUGUUAAGAUGUUUUGGGUACUUCAGUCAACAAGCUGCCAUCUUCAACAUGGGGCAUACAGAGCAGUUUUCAAGCCUCUAUAGAAGUCAUCUUACAGCGAGUCUGAGCCAGUGGAAUGCAGUUAUAGUGAUAUGUGUGCUCCCAAGGUAGCCCUCAAUGCUCCUACUCGGAAAUACUCAUAUGUUGCUUCUGACUUGAAGCAGAGGAACUCACAACCUAAGAAGCCACAGGCUUGAAGAUGGCAGAGCACAAGAUGGCAGAAGUUUGGAAUGAAUUACUACUUGAAAGAGAAGCUCUUAUUUAC
rnacentral:lncRNA from 1 species